GACGUAGGGCGCGAGCGUUGUCCGGAUUUAUUGGGCGUAAAGAGCUCGUAGGCGGUGUGUCGCGUCGGCCGUGAAAACCUGCAGCUUAACUGUGGGCUUGCGGUCGAUACGGGCAUCACUGGAGUUCGGCAGGGGAGACUGGAAUUCCUGGUGUAGCGGUGAAAUGCGCAGAUAUCAGGAGGAACACCGGUGGCGAAGGCGGGUCUCUGGACAGUUCCUGACACUGAGGCAGCGGAAGGCCAGGGGAGCAAACGGG
rnacentral:rRNA from 1 species